rnacentral:rRNA from 1 species
UACGAAGGGGGCUAGCGUUGCUCGGAAUCACUGGGCGUAAAGCGCACGUAGGCGGAUUGCUAAGUCAGGGGUGAAAUCCUGGAGCUCAACUCCAGAACUGCCUUUGAUACUGGCGAUCUCGAGUUCGGGAGAGGUGAGUGGAACUGCGAGUGUAGAGGUGAAAUUCGUAGAUAUUCGCAAGAACACCAGUGGCGAAGGCGGCUCACUGGCCCGAUACUGACGCUGAGGCGCGACAGCGUGGGGAGCAAACAGG